AAGGCCAUACUACAUUGAAGAAACCUGUUCUCGUCCGAUCACUGAAGUUAAGCAAUGUCAGGCCUGGUCAGUACUUGGGAGGGUGACCACCUGGGAACAUUGGGUGCUGUAGGCU
rnacentral:rRNA from 1 species